rnacentral:rRNA from 1 species
UACGUAGGGGGCUAGCGUUGUCCGGAUUUAUUGGGCGUAAAGAGCGUGUAGGCGGCCAUGUAGGUCCGGUGUGAAAACUCGAGGCUUAACCUCGAGAUGUCAUCGGAAACCAUUUGGCUAGAGUCCGGAAGAGGAGAGUGGAAUUCAUGGUGUAGCAGUGAAAUGCGUAGAGAUCAUGAGGAAGACCAGUGGCGAAGGCGGGUCUCUGGACAGUUCCUGACACUGAGGCACGAAGGCCAGGGGAGCAAACGGG